rnacentral:rRNA from 1 species
UACGUAGGGUGCGAGCGUUGUCCGGAAUUAUUGGGCGUAAAGAGCUCGUAGGCGGUGUGUCACGUCGGCCGUGAAAACCUGCAGCUUAACUGUGGGCGUGCGGUCGAUACGGGCAUCACUGGAGUUCGGCAGGGGAGACUGGAAUUCCUGGUGUAGCGGUGAAAUGCGCAGAUAUCAGGAGGAACACCGGUGGCGAAGGCGGGUCUCUGGGCCGAUACUGACGCUGAGGCGCGAAGGCGUGGGGAGCGAACGGG